GCAGGGGCGGCAGGCUACCAUGCAAGUCGACGAACUCUUCGGAGUUAGUGGCGGACGGGUGAGUAACACGUGGGAACGUGCCUUUAGGUUCGGAAUAACUCAGGGAAACUUGUGCUAAUACCGAAUGUGCCCUUCGGGGGAAAGAUUUAUCGCCUUUAGAGCGGCCCGCGUCUGAUUAGCUAGUUGGUGAGGUAAAGGCUCACCAAGGCGACGAUCAGUAGCUGGUCUGAGAGGAUGAUCAGCCACAUUGGGACUGAGACACGGCCCAAACUCCUACGGGAGGCAGCAGUGGGGAAUCUUGCGCAAUGGGCGAAAGCCUGACGCAGCCAUGCCGCGUGAAUGAUGAAGGUCUUAGGAUUGUAAAAUUCUUUCACCGGGGACGAUAAUGACGGUACCCGGAGAAGAAGCCCCGGCUAACUUCGUGCCAGCAGCCGCGGUAAUACGAAGGGGGCUAGCGUUGCUCGGAAUUACUGGGCGUAAAGGGAGCGUAGGCGGACAUUUAAGUCAGGGGUGAAAUCCCGGGGCUCAACCUCGGAAUUGCCUUUGAUACUGGGUGUCUUGAGUAUGAGAGAGGUGUGUGGAACUCCGAGUGUAGAGGUGAAAUUCGUAGAUAUUCGGAAGAACACCAGUGGCGAAGGCGACACACUGGCUCAUUACUGACGCUGAGGCUCGAAAGCGUGGGGAGCAAACAGGAUUAGAUACCCUGGUAGUCCACGCCGUAAACGAUGAUUGCUAGUUGUCGGGAUGCAUGCAUUUCGGUGACGCAGCUAACGCAUUAAGCAAUCCGCCUGGGGAGUACGGUCGCAAGAUUAAAACUCAAAGGAAUUGACAGGGGCCCGCACAAGCGGUGGAGCAUGUGGUUUAAUUCGAAGCAACGCGCAGACCUUACCACCUUUUGACAUGCCUGGACCGCCAGAGAGAUCUGGCUUUCCCUUCGGGACUAGGACACAGUGCUGCAUGCUGUCGUCAGCUCGUGUCGUGAGAUGUUGGGUUAGUCCCGCACGAGCGCACCCUCGC
rnacentral:rRNA from 1 species